AUUGAACGCUGGCGGCAGGCCUAACACAUGCAAGUCGAACGGUAACAGGGAUCAGCUUGCUGAUUCGCUGACGAGUGGCGGACGGGUGAGUAAUGUCUGGGAAACUGCCUGAUGGAGGGGGAUAACUACUGGAAACGGUAGCUAAUACCGCAUAACGUCGCAAGCCCAAAGAGGGGGACCUUCGGGCCUCUUGCCAUCGGAUGUGCCCAGAUGGGAUUAGCUAGUAGGUGGGGUAACGGCUCACCUAGGCGACGAUCCCUAGCUGGCCUGAGAGGAUGACCAGCCACACUGGAACUGAGACACGGUCCAGACUCCGACGGGAGGCAGCAGUGGGGAAUAUUGGACAAUGGGCGCAAGCCUGAUGCAGCCAUGCCGCGUGUAUGAAGAAGGCCUUCGGGUUGUAAAGUACUUUCAGCGGGGAGGAAGGGAGUAAAGUUAAGACCUUGGCGCAUUGACGUUACCCGCAGAAGAAGCACCGGCUAACUCCGUG
rnacentral:rRNA from 1 species